rnacentral:rRNA from 1 species
AGUGAACGCUGGCGGUAGGCCUAACACAUGCAAGUCGAACGGCAGCACAGUAAGAGCUUGCUCUUACGGGUGUCGAGUGGCGGACGGGUGAGGAAUACAUCGGAAUCUACUUUUUCGUGGGGGAUAACGUAGGGAAACUUACGCUAAUACCGCAUACGACCUACGGGUGAAAGCAGGGGAUCUUCGGACUUUGCGCGAUUGAAUGAGCCGAUGUCGGAUUAGCUAGUUGGCGGGGUAGAGGCCCACCAAGGCGACGAUCCGUAGCUGGUAUGAGAGGAUGAUCAGCCACCCUGGAACUGAGACACGGUACCGACUCUUACAGGGAGCAGCGGCGCAGAAUAUUGGGCAAUGCAGGAGUGCCUAAUACAGCCAUACCGCGUGGGGGCAGAAGGACUUCUGGUUGUAGAGUCAUUAUGUUGGGAAAGAAAUGAAGCACGUUAACCCCCCACUGUACUGACGGUACCCAAAGAAUAAGCACCGGCUAACUUCGUG